AAAGUACAUGGGGGAUGCGUUGUAAACUGUCUUUCGCACUGAUUAGGUCAGCAAUUACUGCGAUACGAGGAAGUCGAUCUGCCUCAACUCGCGAACAUUCUUUAAAUAUUGACCUAGGUUAUUGGGAAAGUUGUCUUUACAUUUGACUGUCCCUUUAUCAUGGAUAUUUUUAAACACUGAUUUUAGUCAUA